AGAAAAGGGCACAAAGGCCAGACGCAUUAUUCCCCCGCCACGUACGCCUCACGCGUCACGUAUGCACGCGUACGGCGUACCCGCCGAGGCGCCGAGGCGGAGGUCACGUCAGGGAUGCUACAUGCAGUAUGCUAGGACUAGGGCUAGGACUAGGGACCCCCUCUGCUGGCACGCGCGCACACGGCACACGUUGAUUCCCCCACGGGUGGCUAGGCGACCCGGGAAUCUUGCCAACCUCGUCGACG
rnacentral:lncRNA from 1 species